UAGGGAAUCUUCCGCAAUGGACGAAAGUCUGACGGAGCAACGCCGCGUGAGUGAUGAAGGCUUUCGGGUCGUAAAACUCUGUUGUUAGGGAAGAACAAGUAUGAGGGUAACUGCUCGUACCUUGACGGUACCUAGCCAGAAAGCCACGGCUAACUACGUG
rnacentral:rRNA from 1 species